CUGUGAUGGUAACUGCUUUACAAAUGACUACAGUCUCCCUGUGUGAUAUAAACACCCUACAGGAUCACACGUAUAGCAUUACUCUAUAGGCUACAUCUCUCUCUCUCUCUAUCCGUCCCACUGUAGAGAUGUAACGUGUAUGUAUGUCCUCCCUCUGUAUGUUUAUACAGGAUCACAAUGUCUCUCUCUGCUGCACACGGCUGCUUCCAGUCACGAUGUUCAGUCCCUGUGUUGAGUCUCGUGUUCACUGCCCGCUCCGUCAGUGAGCUCAGUUCAGCUGCUGCGGUCCGUGUGGAGUUGGUUGUUGGUUCUGAUUGGCGGCUCCUAAUUCAGCAGCGGCGAGGGCCCGGCCCGGAGAGCGUAUAACUUACUGAGGGUGACCUGCAGUAGCACACACCUCGCUGAACACUGUCUGAUUGAGGAGAACAGCGGUGUCAUCCCCAGACUGCUACAAAGUCCUCUGCCUUCUGUCUGUAAUUAGCCAGUCAAUGCUACCACUACCGCACCGUGUGCCCUGGCACUGUCAAUACUACCACUACCCACCGUGUGCCCUGGCACUGUCAAUACUACCACUACCCACCGUGGGCCCUGGCACUGUCAAUACUACCACUACCCACCGUGUGCCCGGGCACUGUCAAUACUACCACUACCCACCGUGUGCCCUGGCACUGUCAAUACUACCACUACCCACCGUGUGCCCUGGCACUGUCAAUACUACCACUACCCACCGUGGGCCCUGGCACUGUCAAUACUACCACUACCCACCGUGUGCCCUGGCACUGAAGUAGCAUGGAAUCUCCAAGUCCCUAACAGCAACCACACCAGAACCUGACACCAAGGAAAUUGCUCUGUGCUCUCUGUCGUUGUAGCUCGGAAAGGAUAUUGUCCCUCUGAUCCAAACAAAGUCUAUUGUGUUUUCUCUUCUCGUCUCAUCCCCCUCUCUCGUUGUGGUUGUUUUGUUAUCUUGUCGUCCCCUCUCUCUCUCUAUCCUCAGUCAGGUCAAUAUAGUGGGACAGUGCUUUAGUUUCUGGUCGUUUCCUCUUCCUCCUCCUCUUCCCCUCUGUCAUUCAGUAUAUGUUCAGUAUAUGUUCAGUAUAUCCCAGAGUAGUGUCAGCUGUCUAUCUGUCCGUCUGUGUCUGGUUUAUAUAACCCCUGUUCUCCUCCCACAGCCUGCCUGCUUCCACUCUCUAUCAGUGUGUGUAAGUGUGUGUGUUAGUCCGUGGAUGCAUAUUUAGCAUUUUAGUUAUUUUGUGAAGGUUUGGGGUGUGGAUGCAACAAUGACUGUCUUUCAGGUCAGAGAACAGUGGCUGUGUGUGUGACCGCCCAGCAGUCCAUUCAGACAGGGUAUAUAGUUGGAUCUGUUUAGGAUGUUAGUGGCAAGGCCUUCUUCCCCUACAAUCCCUCGGUUGAAACCCAGAGACAGAGAGACAGAGAGGCAGGGAGACAGGGAGGCAGAGAGACAGAGAGGCAGAGAGACAGGGAGACAGGGAGACAGGGAGGCAGAGAGACAGGGAGACAGGGAGACAGGGAGGCAGAGAGACAGAGAGACAGGGAGGCAGGGAGACAGGGAGACAGGGAGGCAGAGAGACAGAGACAGGGAGGC
ensembl:lncRNA